AGUGAACGCUGGCGGCGUGCUUAACACAUGCAAGUCGAACGGAAAGGCCCUAGCUUGUUUGUGUUCUGGAGUGCCGAACGGGUGAGUAUGACGUGGGUGAUCUGAUCUGCACUUCGGUAUAGGCUUGGGUAGCUGGGUCUACUCUCGGAUCGGAUGAUGGUUUGGAUGCCAUUGUGGAAAGCUUCUUCGGUGUGGGAUGAGAUUGCGGCGUAUCAGCUUUAUGGAGGGGGAGUGGCCUACCCCGGCGUCGACGAGGAGCCGUCCUGGGAGGGUGUAGGGACACAUUGGGACUGAGAGACGGCCCAGACUCCGGCGGGAUGCAGCAGUGGGGAAAAUUGGACAAUGGGCGCAAGCCUGAUGCAGCGACGCCUCGUGGUUGAUGACGGCCUUCGGGUUGUAAGAACCUUUCGCUAGGGACGAAGCGUUGUUGUGACGGUACCUGGAGAAGAAGCACCGGCUAACUACGUG
rnacentral:rRNA from 1 species